rnacentral:rRNA from 1 species
GACGAACGCUGGCGGCGUGCUUAACACAUGCAAGUCGAGCGGUAAGGCCCUUUCGGGGGUACGACGAGCGGCGAACGGGUGAGUAACACGUGGGUGACCUGCCCUCCAGCUCUGGGAGUAAGCCUGGGAAACCGGGUCUAAUACUGGAUAUGACUCCAUGACGCAUGUUGUGGGGUGGAAAGCCUUGUGCGGCUGAGGAUGGGCCCGCGGCCUAUCAGCUUGUUGGUGGGGUGAUGGCCUACCAAGGCGACGACGGGUAGCCGGCCUGAGAGGGCGACCGGCCACACUGGGACUGAGACACGGCCCAGACUCCUACGGGAGGCAGCAGUGGGGAAUCUUGCGCAAUGGGCGAAAAGCCUGACGCAGCGACGCCGCGUGAGGGAUGACGGCCUCGGUGUAAC